rnacentral:rRNA from 1 species
AGAGUUUGAUCCUGGCUCAGGAUGAACGCUGGCGGCGUGCUUAACACAUGCAAGUCGAACGAAGCACUUAAGAACGAUUCUUCGGAUGAAGUCUUUUGUGACUGAGUGGCGGACGGGUGAGUAACGCGUGGGUAACCUGCCUCACACAGGGGGAUAACAGUUGGAAACGACCGCUAAUACCGCAUAACCCGCUGGUAUCGCAUGAUACUGACGGAAAAGAUUUAUCGGUGUGAGAUGGACCCGCGUCUGAUUAGCCAGUUGGCAGGGUAACGGCCUACCAAAGCGACGAUCAGUAGCCGGCCUGAGAGGGUGAACGGCCACAUUGGGACUGAGACACGGCCCAAACUCCUACGGGAGGCAGCAGUGGGGAAUAUUGCACAAUGGGGGAAACCCUGAUGCAGCGACGCCGCGUGAGUGAAGAAGUAUUUCGGUAUGUAAAGCUCUAUCAGCAGGGAAGAAAAUGACGGUACCUGACUAAGAAGCCCCGGCUAACUACGUGCCAGCAGCCGCGGUAAUACGUAGGGGGCAAGCGUUAUCCGGAUUUACUGGGUGUAAAGGGCGUGCAGCCGGGAAGACAAGUCAGAUGUGAAAUCCCGCGGCUCAACCGCGGAACUGCAUUUGAAACUGUUUUUCUUGAGUACCGGAGAGGUCAUCGGAAUUCCUUGUGUAGCGGUGAAAUGCGUAGAUAUAAGGAAGAACACCAGUGGCGAAGGCGGAUGACUGGACUGUAACUGACGGUGAGGCGCGAAAGCGUGGGGAGCAAACAGGAUUAGAUACCCUGGUAGUCCACGCUGUAAACGAUCAAUACUAGGUGUGCGGGGACUGACCCCCUGCGUGCCGCAGUUAACACAAUAAGUAUUGCACCUGGGGAGUACGAUCGCAAGGUUGAAACUCAAAGGAAUUGACGGGGGCCCGCACAAGCGGUGGAUUAUGUGGUUUAAUUCGAAGCAACGCGAAGAACCUUACCAGGGCUUGACAUGGGGGCGGCCGGUGUAGAGAUACACCUUCCUCUUCGGAGGCGCCCCACACAGGUGGUGCAUGGUUGUCGUCAGCUCGUGUCGUGAGAUGUUGGGUUAAGUCCCGCAACGAGCGCAACCCCUAUUGUUAGUUGCUACGCAAGAGCACUCUAGCGAGACUGCCGUUGACAAAACGGAGGAAGGUGGGGACGACGUCAAAUCAUCAUGCCCCUUAUGUCCUGGGCUACACACGUAAUACAAUGGCGGUCAACAGAGGGAUGCAAAGCCGCGAGGCAGAGCGAACCCCUAAAAGCCGUCCCAGUUCGGAUCGCAGGCUGCAACCCGCCUGCGUGAAGUCGGAAUCGCUAGUAAUCGCGGAUCAGCAUGCCGCGGUGAAUACGUUCCCGGGCCUUGCACACACCGCCCGUCA